GACGUACCACCCAAACGUUAUUCGGAAUCACUGGGCUUAAAGAGUCCGUAGGCGGCCAAGAAAGUUGGGUGUGAAAUACCUCAGCUCAACUGAGGAAUUGCGCUCAAAACUACUUGGCUCGAGAAAGACAGAGGUGAGCGGAACUGAUGGUGGAGCGGUGAAAUGCAUUGAUAUCAUCAGGAACACCGGUGGCGAAAGCGGCUCACUGGGUGCUUU
rnacentral:rRNA from 1 species